ACAGCCUGAGUAAUUAAGCACUUUGGAUGUUGAAAGCAAUUUGGACAUCUCCUAAACCCAGAGCUGAAUUUUGCUGUUUUCUGCAAGGAAUAAGGGCGUCAGAAAUCCAGAGCAAGCUGAGGACAUGCAUGGUGGGUGAAGGCAGGAUUUCACUCCCGGGUGCUGGGAGGACCUUUCCCCUGGAGCUGACUGUGAGAAGGGAUGUCACCAUGAUCGGUUCUGUGGAAUUUAAUCUCCCAGAUGGAAAGCAAAUCAAUCUGCCCAUCGCUGCAGCUGAGGUAUACUUUGGCUCAACUUUAAUUUAUUCUCUGAAGCUGAAGGAGGCUGGUCAUUUCAAGUUAUGAAAUCUUGUACGUGGAAGCAUUUGGUCACGACGAAUCUCUGAAGAACAGAUGUUCUGAUGCUGUCCCAUCAGGUGCAUCCACUGCUUUGCUGUGUGUUGUCCUCCUACUGUGUGACAGCUUAAGAUGGAGCCUGUGCAGUGCCCUCAGUCUGUAGCAGAGAUGUCAUUUAAUGGAUGAUCAGAACGUUAAUGAAUCUGCUCUGUGGAAAGAAUGGUUUUUGAAUCUAUGCCACAAUCUGCUGGGGCUGCACCACGUGGCUGCAUUCAGGCUUCUUCUGGGAUCUUCAGCUUCUGCUUUCCUGACACGGCCUGCUGGAUUGCAGGACCUGAGACCAGUGUUCUCCAGGCUAUGGGGAAGGUGGGAUUCACAGUAGUCAGUCGAAACACUGAGUGUUUAGGAGCUUUUGUAUGAGUGCCAGGAAGGAGAAGGAUGCUCUGGAAUUUGUGCAAAAGGAGAAUACAGUGAUGCUCACUGUGGUGUUCCAGAGCUGGGUUAUAAUGAGAAUGGAGACUUUCUUCAAGGUCUCAGGCUGGGGUUCUGCCUGCUGUGAGGAGCAAGGCAUUCCCCUGCUCAAGGCCAGGUGAGAAGCAUUGAUAACUGUCUCUGUUUACUCUGGAAUGUGAUGCUGAGAGCUCAGAUCCUCACCAGGUGGGAGAUGCUCAUGGGUCCUUUUGCAAAUUAAGGGCUGAAUUCAUCCAAAGCAAACUUUGCACAUCACAAGCAAUGAUGUGAACUAUUCACAGAGCCAGUGGCUGAAGAAGUGGAUGGGAUCUGCAGCCAGAAGAAACAAAUGUGUCAUUUGAAUUAUGGCACAGUUUGCUUUGAGAUUUUCUCAGUUCAAAGUUGACAUCUCUUCAUCUUAUGUAACAGCGUAAAAGAUCUGUUAAACACCACUGCAGGCUGUGUUUUUAACUGC
ensembl:lncRNA